CUUGCGCUUCAUCGUCGUAUAUGAAAGUUAGAAUAUGGCUUCCUUAGUGAUAAUUAUAGGAAAAACACUAAUCUAUAACUUUGCCGAACGCAACAUUUCAAUGUUAGUCUUCUGAACUGAAUUAUGGACAAAUGAGUCAAACGAUUGCCAGGUGAUCGAAAACAUCCCUGGCUAGAAUGUCAAAAAAGUCUGCGAAAUUCUUUUGAUAACAAUUCUACCAAAUGACCCAUUUGGCCAGAUGGUGUUCGGCCGAAUGGCACUCAUUACUUGAUGACCCUUUCAAUGAGUAACCGCUGAAUUUCAUUAUAUUGAUCUGCUAUACUUGCAAUGAGUUUAUCUGUUGCUGUGAUAAAAUAUCUAUUUAUUUCCGAAAUAUUCCCACAGGAACGAUAAUAAGCCAGCAGAUCCGACUGGCAAAAGCCACCAGAAAAGAAAAGGUUGCAUCAGCAAGGAUAAUGACGAGGGUGCUGCGCAGAACCGCGGCAUUAGACAGUUUCAGAAUAUGUUUGGCUCAGUCAUCAGGAACAACUAUGCACAUAUGAUGAAUAUGAAAAUGAAAUUGAUGGCCCAGGGUUGCACCAAUCGUCAGCUGCUGGAAGGUAUCGAUAAACGUAUACAGGAACUAGGCAGGGAACUGAUUCUUACCGAAACCAUGUUCGGUGCGCAACCCGAGCGUAAUGCAAGGCAACAAAAACAAGGUGUGCUUCCCUGUGGCUGCAGAUGGUAGGUAAUAUGUUCAGAUAUGUUUAAUGUGCCCUCAUUGAACGCCUUUUCUUAAUUACCCUUUCAAUGAGUAACCACUGAAUUUUAUUGUUUUGUUCUGCUUUAUUUGCAAUAAAGAGUUCGGAUUUUGGAGCAGUA